rnacentral:rRNA from 1 species
AUGGAAGAAGGAAUUGAUGAAACUGUGAGCUCAUUGGAUGAAAAAGAUGAUGAGGCGAGAGAAGAACAAAAGGAGGAAGAGCGGAUUAGCUACCCAUGCCCACCUUCUAAUGAGAGUAACUCUUCAACUCAUACAUUGUUUAAUGUCCCUUCAUUCUUACCAAAGGCUGAAUGCUAUGAUAAUUGCUAUGAUCCCGUUGAUUCAUUUGAAAUAUUCCUUUUUGAUGAUGCUUGCUAUGCUUGUGGCCAAGAUGCCAAUAUGAAUUAUGCUAUUGGAGAUGAACUUGCUAUUGUUCCUUAUGUUAAACAUGAAAUUGUUGCUAUUGCACCCACACAUGAAAGUCCUAUUAUCUUUUUGAAUUCUUCAAACUACACUAUAUCAAAGAAGUUUGUUCUUAUUAAGGAUUAUAUUGAUGGGUUGCCUUUUACCGUUGCACAUGGUAAUUUUGAUGAAUGUAAUAUGCAUGUGCUUGCUGCUCCUACUUGCAAUUAUUAUGAGAGAGGAACUACAUCCCCACCUCUCUAUGUUUCCAACACGAAAAAAUUGCAAGAAAAUACUGAUGUUAUGUAUUGGCCUUUACUUGAUGUGCAUGAAUUGUUCUUGUAUGACAUGCCGAUGCAUAUGAAGAGAGUUAGACUUCGUCAUUGCAUGAAAUAUGUUUCUUUGUGCUCACUACUAAAUGCCAAAUUAUUGUUAAUUAAAAUUGGCUUUGAUAUACCUUGGGAUCCGGAUGGAUUCAUUACUUGA